GGUGGUGACAAGCCAUAGCUCAGUGGCAGAGCACUUGCUUUGCAUGCAAAAGGUCCCAGGUUCAAUCCCUGGCAUCUCCA